CAGCUGCCCGCUUGCCCGUAGCUGACUCAGCUCCCUCAUCUUCAUCUCCAUCCUCUUCCUCACCAUCACCUUCUUCCUCCCCACCUUCUUCCUCUUCUUCAUCUACCUCGUUGUCAGCCUCCGGCUCCCCAUUUUCCUCAUUAGCAUUCCCGUGAGCAGGGGCGUCUCUUCCAUUUUCCGCCUCUUCCACAACUUCCUUCUUCUCCUUUAAGUCCUCGGUGGUGAUUUCGGAGCUGGUGUCUACGGCUGCGUCUGACAUGGUGGGGCACGCCGGUGACGCGAUGCAGGGGAUAAAAAAGAAAGCGACAGUUCAGGGACUCUGGCGAUAAAGCUGCCGGAGUCCGCGGCGGCGGAGGCGGCUGCGGCGAGCAAGGAGGCUGACGACGCACAAUGCAAAGACGGCUUUUCAGAGCAGCCAGUGGGGCAGGACAAUGUUUUUCAUCAAAUGUCCUUAGAUUUGGAGGAGGUUUCCCCAGUGUAUCCAGUGGUUGUCUUCCUCUUGAUUAAUAUUAAAGGAGGAGAAAAAGUGUGUAUUGGGGUCAGUGCAGAAAACAAAUCAUCCAAGCACACGAAGUGGAAUUUGCUAAUAGCAUUACUACUCACCCAGUGACUUCGGAGUCACAACCCAGGACACGGUUUUCCGCCCAUUUCUACAGACACAGUGAGAUUCUUCAUUCUUCUCUGUUGGAACAGCCAGGAAAGCGGAAGAGACCUCCAGCUGCACAACGACCUGUCCCCCACACCCAACCACAAGUUUAUGAAGGGAUGCAGAACAGCAUGAAUACUGCAAAAGAUGCUCUGUGCAUCAGAACGUCCAGAAGAGAGAGAUUUAAAUUGCUUUCAGCUAAGCUGUAGACCUCUAGCAGAUGAACGACAUAUUUUCCUGAAGGACUUGCUUCGGUGUGGAAGUGAUUCCGCUGUGAGUUGUGUCUUUUGCGUUGUUGCACUCUUCAUCAUAUUCAUCCGCAGGACCUCCAGCUCUAAAGGGUGUGAAGAGGAUACUGACCCACCAGAAAGAGACCCCACUGCUAGAACGAAUAAGAUGUGCUGAAAGCCGGAGCAUAACUUGGCCAUUCCCAAGAUUUAACAACAAACUAACUACCCAUCAUUAACAGUAAAGCAGAAAGAAAACAAUCAGUAAGAGAUUAUAUAGACCUAAGAGAUGUUACAGACCGAAGAAGAACCUAUGGAGGAAGACAGGAAGAUGAGAGAGAUUUGAAGAUGGUAUGUGGCUGAAUUUGAAGAUAGAGAAAGGAACCGCAAGCAAAGAAUGCAAGAGGUCUCUAGAAGCUGGAAAAGGCAAGGAAAGAGUCUCCCCUCAAGCUCCAGCAGGAAUGCAGUCCUGACACCUUGAGUUUAGCCUAGUGAGACUUCUGACCUCCAGAACUAGAAGAUACAAGUGGUGUUUUAAGGCACUAAAACGAAGAACUAGAAGUAUUGUUUUAAGCCCAUAAAUUUGUGAUAAUCUGUUACAGUAGUAAUAGGCAAUGCAUACACAAGCACACAAAGUAAAAUUUUUCUGUGGUUAUUUUCCAUAUUUUUUCAGUUAUUUUCUGCCUUUUGAAGACAUUAAAGACAUAAAAUGAAUAUGUAUUAGUUUAGGAAUAAAAUUUAAAAUGUAGGAAUGCUAUAAAAGAAGAAAAAAUUUUAACUGGGCUAAAGCAAACCCAGUAUGUCAUCCUAUUACAUCAGCUUCUUCAUCUUUGGAUGAAGAGGUUGGUGACUGUUUCUUCUAAUGUGAGAAUAGCUCCAAAUUGCUAAAUUGUUCAGAAUUUGACAAGAUGAAAGAGGAAAGAAAAAGGAAAUCUUGAAAACAUUUACUGUUUCCUUGUUCAAUGGAUAACACAUGGAUUCCUGAUUGGGAGAUUUUUCCUCUUGCUUUGAUCUGAAGGCAGAAGGAAAUAUAUUCAUUAUUGUUUAAAAGAAUACAUUUUAACCUAACUUUAAAACAUUCAUGAUAUAUUUGUGAACCAUAAUCUUAUUACCCCAACCUAGAAGUUAUUUUGAUCACUAAACUUCCUUUUCAAUAUCUUCAUAUAUGUGUCUUUACAUACUUUAAAUAAAAAAUAUAUAAUUGUAUAACGUUUUAUUAUUUUAUUUAAUAUUUAUCACUUCUAAUAAAUAUAUGUAAAUAUGUAAACAGAAUUUAUGUAUUUUUUCAACAAACAUUUCAAACAUCUACCUUAUGCAAAGCAAUAUAUAGUGAAGGCAGAUAUAAAGUAUAAAUAAGUAUUCUCUAAUAUUGCCUCUAUUUUAAAAAAACUAAAUGUAUUGAGCAUUCUCUAUAUGCCAGGAACUGAACUAAGUAAUUUACUGUUAAUUUACACUAUAAUUCCAUGAAGUAGGUAUUAAUAUUAUCUCCAGGACUAAAGUGAGAUGAUUGACAUUUCUCUUUCCAGAUGAAAUUAGGUAAGUUAUCCAAGGUCAUGUAUCUAGGAAGCAAUAAAUCUAGGAAAUUCAAAUUUAUUGUUAAUUUUUCUAUUUUUUUAUGGAAUUAAGAAAAUGUUAUUUAUAGUUAAUGCUCUUAUACAGAAUUCCCUAUAUUUAACUUUUUCUUCUUAAAAUGACUUAUUUGAGUAACUAUGAGCCUUGGACAUUUUCAAUUUGGGGGCAUUCGUGGGAAUAUUGGCCUCAAAAGUAUCACUCCAAUUUAUAGUCUGCCUGUUAAUAUACCUUUUCCUUGCAAUCACACCAGUCAUGAGCUUUGUAAAAUAAUUAGAAUUGAAUAUUUUUCCAGAAGAUUGUUUAUAAGUUUUAUUUCCUUUUGAAUGAGUUCAUGGUUCUUAGCUUUUGCUUCUUUAUCUACUGAGUUCUAAGAAAACAUUUUCUCUUUGACUAAAAACAUUUUAUCCUAGGCUCUUUCCUCUCCUGCUCAAUAAGUUGCCAUUGGAACUCUGCAAGGAAAAAUUCUAAAAGUUUCAGUGGUGAAUAGAGCAUAAAUGAGAAAUUAAAGCAUUAAUAUUUGUUAGGAAGUAACUUCUCUUCUAGCACAAAAACAAUACAAAAUAUAUUAUUGUUAUCUUAUAAAUGGCAUUACUUAGACAGGAACCCAGCAAUUUUGGAGUCUACACAAUCAGAAGGAGCUACAGUGGGUCUUAUUCUUACCAAAUAGUAGAAGGUUAAUUCUUUUUCAUCCCUGAGAAUCUGUUUAUUCAGAAUGUAGUGUGCUUGAAUCUCCUGGGUUUGUCCACAGGUCAAAGUACCAAUAAUAGGUUUGAGGUGAAUAUAACUCUUGCUUGGGGAAAAAAAAUGCUUUGCAGUAUGAGAUGUUUGCGUAUGAAAUUCAUCAAGCCACCAGUUAUCAGAACAAUUGUUACUCUCUUUGUAUUUGACCUAAUGGAAGAAUAAAUAAGCUGUUUUAUAUAUAAUAUAUAUAUGAUUGCAAAAAUAUAUAAAAAUAUGCAUAUUAUAUAUGUUUGUAUAUAUAUACAUAAAGCAAUAUAAUAAAGCCAUAUAAGAAGGCUGCUUUCUUAAAUA
rnacentral:lncRNA from 1 species